GUGCACGCUUCGGCAGCACUUACACUAAAAUUGGAACAGUAUGGAGAAGAUUAGCGUGGCCCCUGCCCAAGGAUGACAUGCACAUUCGUGAAACGGUCCAUAUUUUU